rnacentral:rRNA from 1 species
GAUGAACGCUAGCUACAGGCUUAGCACAUGCAAGUCGAGGGGAAACGACAUCGAAAGCUUGCUUUUGAUGGGCGUCGACCGGUGCACGGGUGAGUAACGCGUAUCCAACCUGCCCAUCACUUGGGAAUAACCUUGCGAAAGUAAGACUAAUACCCAAUGAUAUCCCACGAAGGCAUCGGAAUGGGAUUAAAGAUUUAUCGGUGAUGGAUGGGGAUGCGUCUGAUUAGCUUGUUGGCGGGGUAACGGCCCACCAAGGCAACGAUCAGUAGGGGUUCUGAGAGGAAGGUCCCCCACAUUGGAACUGAGACACGGUCCAAACUCCUACGGGAGGCAGCAGUGAGGAAUAUUGGUCAAUGGGCGAGAGCCUGAACCAGCCAAGUAGCGUGCAGGAAGACGGCCCUAUGGGUUGUAAACUGCUUUUAUAAGGGAAUAAAGUGGGUCACGUGUGACUUUUUGCAUGUACCUUAUGAAUAAGGACCGGCUAAUUCCGUG